UCUAAUUCGACUAGUUUUAGUUUCGAUAAGAAACAUCCUAUUUUAUUGUGUAGUAAACAUCGACUCACAGUGUUGUUGUUUGAAAGUGAACAUAAACGUUUGUUACAUGGUGGCCCUCAGCUGCUACUGUCUUCUUUACGGGAAAGGUGGUGGACACUUGGUGCUAGGAACUUAGCUAGAAAGUCAGUUCACAAUUGUGUCACGUGUACGCGAAUGAAAGAUAUUCGCACAUCAACGGGCAUCGUUCAACGAGCUUUCUCAAAAAUCUGCCCGCUGCCGUUGCAGCCGGUAGACGAGGGCGACCAAAGAGGCCACAUCAUGCUGAGACCCUUUUUCUUUGGAAGUAGGUACUUCCAAGGCGGGGGCCAUGUUCAAGCGACAUCUAGUGGGUAGUGGCGCUUCUAAUGUGAAGUUGCCGCUUAUCAGCCAAUGAGAGGACGACGGGCGGGGGGACCUCGCCUAACUUCAUACGACUUUUUUUCUUUGUUCAAAAUAUUUAAAUUUGUAACGUUCAUUAUUUCUUAUUCAUUAUUCGUUGUUAUUUGGUCAGACAAUACACGAAAUCUUUAUCAUA